AAAAAAAAACAGCCAGCAUCCUAAAUUGGGGUCACCUUGUCCCAUCUGUACCAGUGAGUGCUGCCAGUGGUCACAGAUGCCCUGGUCCUUCACUGCAGACUGUACCCCUGAACUUCAGACCCCACUGCCCCUUCCAGGCUGGUGCAUCCUUCCUCUCUGGGGCCAGGUAAGAAGAGAACUUGUCAUAAGCAGUGUCUGAAGUUGCUAAAGCUCAUGGAAAUGCAGUCUGACCCAUCACAUUAGCUCACAUUGAAAGCUAGAGUGUGGGCGGAGGGCUGAGGGUUGUCUUUAGCUGUGGUGUUGGGCCCUGGCUGGCUUGAUGCUGACCUGAGAUCACUUCUAACCCCUCCUGUCCCAGCUCUGUGGUCAUGAAGGCAGCCUCCAGUUCUCUCUCGGGCUCAGCUCAGGAAAGGUAGAAGGUGACAGUCUUCCUUUCCUUCCUUUUCAACUGGUUAGCCUGGUCUCCCUGAGAGAAUACGUCCCUCAAAUCAAAAGAAAAGGCCAGUCCCUACCAGCCCAGGGCCACCAGAGCUGCCAGGGAACGCCUGUCUGUAUUUCUUUCCUGCCGCUGGUCCUUGUAACCUUUUGUAAUCUCUCCAUUCCGUGACUCACAGCUGUAGCCUUCAGCUGAGACUUAGCUCCUUUGACUUGGUGCCUUCCUGCUGCCCUCCCCACUUGUCCAGCGUUCUGGGAAGGAGCCCUCUUCUCCACUCCCUGAGUGUAGCAGGUUAGCCUCCAAGGACAUUAAGAGUGGAGGCUGGAGAUCAACUUUGAACCCUUUCUUAGGCAUGUUUCUUAUGCAGUGCUUCCUAGUCUGUCCAUUUGUCCUCCCUUGUUCCGUAGGAUUUGAGAGGUGGUCCUUUCUGCGAGAGCCCCUCCAUGUUGAUAUUCAUAGAAGGGGACAAAGGGGGAAGAAUAGGCAACUCUUCCCGAGGUCCCUUUGUGCAGACACUUGCCUCCUUAUAUUCUUUAUGUGGUGGGUUUUGCCAGGGAUGUGCAUUAGAAUCCCACAUGGUGCUGCCAUGUGCCCCUGUUGGAGAAUCACUGCUCUGUAAGAAGAAUAAAGGAGAUUGGUCUCCUAUAUCUCAUUGGCUCUCCCGACACACACACAGCCUUGUAGGCACAUCUGGGAGAUCCUGGGAGAGCAGUGGGGUAUUGUGACAGAAAGUACACAGGCCCUUUGGGGCCCACAGUCCCGGGCUCAGGGAAAGAUGAGUCCUGGGGAGGCUGACCAGGCCUGGAGAUUGGCUUGCAUAGAGAGUGGAAACCUGCUGGCCCAGCCACAGGCUGCCACAGAAUUGGGCCUGUUGGACGUAGCUGGAAUGUGAGGGGACCUAGGGAUUACGCAGAGAAGUUCUUUUGAUGGAGUCAGUUAUUCCCAACAAGCAGUUCAGCAAGCAGGCAACAGGACCAGAGUUCUGUAUUUGAAAGACCACCCAGCAGGCUUAGAGGAAGGUAAGGCAGGGGGCAGGGAAGACAGGAGGUUUCUACUGCAGCCAGUUGAGGAAAGAGGAGGGUCAGAGCUUAGCUGAUGGGCUGCACGAGGGCUGCACGAGGGUGGAUGCAACGGUAAGACCCAGGGGCUGCAUUUCCAGAGUUUGGUCACCUGCAGCUUGUCCGUUUUUAUUGGACUGGAGAGCAGGCUUCGCAUGAUCCUUCUUAAGCUUGUCCAUACUAUUAAUUUGCCCUAAAUUGUAACCCGGAAAGGGACUUUCAUGUUUAGCCCCCUCAUUUCACAGUUAAACUGAGAUUUGCUUAAGGUCAACCAGUCUGUGACACAGAGCAGGCCCUGGCUUCUCAGCGCCUCGUGGGCAUCAUACCGAACAUUGAGUGUUACAGCACGGUAGACCCUGAUUUUGUUUAUAGCUAGUAUUCGUUCUUUGGUCAGUGCCUCUCCCUUCCUCCCUCUCUGUCUCUGUCUCUCUCUCUCUCUCUCUCUUUUUUUACCUUGAAACUCGUAAAAAUGAAAAUCAAAAAAGAAUUUUCAAGGUAAGCUGGCUCAUGAAAUAACUCCAACUGGUGAAAAUAUGUUGUCUUACUCAUCCUAGGUUGUCACCUGAGUGGUGAUGAUGAGUAGUUGAAAUUAAAAAUAUUUACUCGUGCUGUAGAGUAUUGGAUAACAGCUUUGCCUGGCAUACAGUGGGCAUUCACAAGAUAUUUGUCGUGUGAAACGAAUUCUGUGUGAAGCACUUUCUUGUACCUUAUUCACAGUGAUGCUUCCGAGAGCUUUUGUGACUCAUUCAUAUCCAGUUGCUGACGCAGCUGGAAAGCUGGUCAGAAGUAGGCAUAAAAUGAGCACACUCUGCUGGUUCGUGGUCUUUGAGGGUUCUAUUUUGAGGAGCGCUGUGUCUGUUUUUAGUUUCUUGAAACUGCCUUUUAUGCACAAAACCGAAGUAGAAUGAAUGUAUACCACAAAGUAUAAGGCAUGCAGAAUUUGAUUCAUUGUGUUUUCUGCUUCUGGUGCUAUUGCUUUCAGGUUUUUAAUUUAGCUUGAAUCAAAUGUUUGUUUUUGAACAACUCUUAUAAGAUUUUGACUUCGAAAGUACUUUUUUGGAAUGAGUUCUGUUAGCACUGAAAAAGUAGGAACACAGAGGCGUUGACUUGCACAGGCAUGACAUGGUGUGUUGGCGAGAUACAGCCUGACACCGGUCAAGACAGGUGGGCGUGGGGUCAGGGAGCAGAGAGCAAGGAGACGGGACAGUGAACCACGUGGGGAGAACAGCACAGGUGGGAACAGGUGUGUUGGUUAGGCCGAGUCUGCACAUGCUGGCCCACCUCUAUUCAAGGAGGCACAGUGGUGGUGAGUGGCCCUAGAUCGGGGGUCAGCGGGCUUUUUCUGUCAAGGGCCAGACAGUAAGUAUUUUGGGUGUUGGUGGCACAUAAGGUCUCAGUCUCGACCGAAGCAGCCAGAGACAGCUGCUAAGCAAAUGCACGUAGUGUGUUCCAGUAAAACUUCCAACAAGGGGCAGGCCACUUUGAGAUGGUGGCCCCGGGGCCACGUUGGCCAACCUCUGCUCUGGUUGCAGACCUGAGUGUUUGGGUGUUUGACUCUGCUGUUACUCUGUUGCCUUGUCGGUUUGGCCCGUUUCUCAAAGUUCUUUUUCUGCUCUGUAAAAUGGGAAUAAUCCAGUUGACCCUUGAACGGUGCUGGAGGUUAGGAGUGCCCUAACAGUUAGAAAUCCACCUUCAGUCAGAAACCUGUGUAUAACUUUUAACUCCCCCAGAACUUAACUGUUAAUACCCUGUUUUUGACCAGAAGGUUUACCAGUAACAAAGUCAAUUAACACAUUUUGUAUAUAUAUUAUGUACUGUAUUCAUAACAGUAAGGUAAGCUACAGGACAGAAAAUGUUAGGAAAAUCAUAAGGAAGAGAAAAUACAUUUGCAGGACUGUUCUAUACUGAUCGAAAAAAAUCAGUGUGUCAGUAGACCUAUGCUGCUCAUGGGUCACCUGUACUGAAGGCUGGCAUGAAAUUAUGUGAAAUAAUAUGUAAAAUACUACUCAGAAAAUAAUAGUUGUCCUGCUUUUUUUGUGAGGUGUCAUUUUGCAGAGUUGGAUUUAAAUUGUAGUUUGUUCAUCGGCUCAUGUAUUUAAUACGUAGGCAAAUUUAUAACUUCUAUGACUUACAAAAGGGCUAAACACUGUAACAGACACCCGAGGAAUGCAGUGGAGCUGGGAGGUAGGCAUUCCAGGAUACUGGGACUCUGUUCCUUACGGUCAUUUAGGGACCCAGGUUCUCCUUUUGCUUCCCUGCCAUCGCCUGCGGCAUCCUCCUCAACCGUGUGGUUACGAGGCUGAGGCUGUGGGUACAAGAGCCACAGGAGGGGACAAGAGCCUGGGGACACAGAGCCAGGCCCUGAGGAGGCACCAGCUGGAAGGGGAGCACAUCACUUCCAUUCACACUUGCGGGAGAGAACUCGGGUGUGUGGCCACACCUAACUAGAUGGGGCAGGCGGCUGGAGCCAGGCCACCUUCUGUCCCCACGGAGGAAGGGAGGACAGAUGCUGGCAGUCAGGUCACAGUCAUUGCCAUACAACUGAAAGCAGUCUUUACAUCCUGUAGUGAAUCUUUACAUCCAGAGUAGCCUUUCCUCUCUGGUGGAUUUGUGGAUUGAGUUUCUCAGGUUGCAAGUGCAAGGCGUCUGAAUAUCACUUUUAGAAAAAUCAUGGCAGUGUACCCAGGUCAGACGUUAAAGAAAUACAAUUGUGUAGUACAAUUUAAUUUUUAACUUUUAGGUGAAAAAGCACCUAAUCAUGAGGUCUAAAUAGGAAAUAUGCUUCUCCCAAGGAUUUCCAUUGGCAAGAAUCAUUGCCUGUUAGGAACUGUUUGUUUUAUAUGACGCUCUUAUAAUUUAACUUUGUAUAAAUGCCACCAUUUGGGAUGUCCAUAGAUACUUUGCCUAAAUUUUUCUCUUCUAGAAAAUCAUUCUGGCUGUAAUAGUAAGGGUAUAAAGACCUGGGAAUAUUUUCAAAAUAUAGAAUGAAACCAUCAAAUCAGUCCAAAUGGGAAAGUUUCCCUUAAGGUGUUUUCUUUUAAAUUUAUAUUAUGUCGCUUUUAGCUUUAUCCUUUCCAUAACAUGGAGACUGGGGAUGCAUUUGUGAUUAAAUUUGCAUCUGGGGAAUGUGGAAAUGCCUUCCUGGUAGUUAUCAAAGCUUAACCUGAUGUUUAAAGAAGGAAUGUAAUUAAUGGGCUUGCAGUCAAAUUCGUCAAUAAUUUAAGGAAAAUCUCUAAUUGGAUUAACACUACCUUCUUUAGGAAGAAAAUAAAGUUUAUGAUUCUUCAGUAUUUACUUAGUUACAUACUUUUAAGGUAAAACAAAGCAUAAAAUAAUUAAACAUAAACAUGAAUUGCUCCUUUGUAUUCUAGGAGUAUGCCUAUAGUGCGUUGUGAACUGCUAAGCUUUCAUACACCCAGUGUAACAUUUUAGCAUGUUAGACCAAUGCAUUUGAAGAAACCAGGGCAUUCACAUUUAAAUUUAUUUUGACAUCAUUUGGACCCUAAGAUAGUAACAGUGGUUAUGGCCGGGUAGUAAGAAUAGAAUUCUUGUUUUAUUUUACCUCUCUUGAGUUUUCCUGGUUUCGACCAGUGAACAGGGGUUGUAUAUUAAACCUCUCCCCACUUUGCAAUGGCACAGUAAUGUCUGACACCCGGACUUCACAUCAGUAUGGGACACCAGAAAAUUCCUGACCAGGAGGCUUGUAAAGAAAGAGGUUUUCAUUUCUUCCAGUGCAGUUCAUACUUACAGGGUUUGAUGAGUGAUACAUUGCGCCCCUAGAGUAUGCUUAUUUCACAGACACAUCUACUUUGUAUAUUUAUAGAUGAUUUAUGUCGACUUACUUGGGUCAAGAUAAUGUGCAACUAGAGGUGCCUGGGUGGCUCAGAUGGUUGUGUUGGACUCUUGAUCUCACCUCAGGUCUUGAUCUUAAGGUCAUGAGUUCAGGCCCCUCAUUGGGCUCCACACUAGGCCUGGAGCCUACUUAAAAAAAAAAAAAAAAAAAAAAAAAAAGAUAA